rnacentral:rRNA from 1 species
ACGGGGGGGGCAAGCGUUGUUCGGAAUUACUGGGCGUAAAGGGCUCGUAGGCGGCCAACUAAGUCAGACGUGAAAUCCCUCGGCUUAACCGGGGAACUGCGUCUGAUACUGGAUGGCUUGAGGUUGGGAGAGGGAUGCGGAAUUCCAGGUGUAGCGGUGAAAUGCGUAGAUAUCUGGAGGAACACCGGUGGCGAAGGCGGCAUCCUGGACCAAUUCUGACGCUGAGGAGCGAAAGCCAGGGGAGCAAACGGGA